CGCCACUCUCUUUGGUUCCCCUUGGGAUCACCAGCGAACAAACCAGCGCCUCCCCUGUCCCUCCUCGAUUCCCCACCAAACCACCCAAUCCAUCAAUUGAACCAACCAACAGCAACGCUGGAUCCCCCUCAUCCCCAAUCACACUCGAUCCCCCUCCUGCCCUACCUAGCGCACACUAUCCAAGGAGAGGAAAUCCUCCUCGCGCCCCCGAAGAGGAGUUUCUUCUGGAGCUCCUCCUGUACGCUCCCUCUACUCGGCCCCGUCGUCGUUUCGCCGCCACCGACAAGCUCCGGUGAGCAGCGGGCCAACCGCGCCUCCUUCCCUGCCCUCUCCCUCUCUCUGCACCUGAUGCUCGUAACCCCGUCGCAUCUCUGUCCAGGAGCACCGACGUCCACAGCCGCAGUCCCAUGCGCCUCCAUCUGCCGCGGCCAGCCGAGCCUCCCCCGCCGCCUCGCCACUCCGGUGACCACCUCCAGCAGGAGCCUCGAGGGCGCUUGUUGUUUCGAGCUCCAAGCCCCGGACGUCAAGUCCCCGUCCGUCGCUGUCACGAAGGUCGUCCGAGGAGCACCAAGCCACCGUCCCAAGGCCAAGCUGUCGGCUUGUCUCCGCUGCGCCUCGACCACCUGAUCCGGCCGCCCAUCCUCGGAUCCGUUCGUUUUUGCCGUUCCAAACCACCGCCGGGGCUCCUCCUUAUCGCCGCACCCGGAGGACGCCAAGCUGCCGGCACACCUCCCCAACACCCCUGCUUCGCCUGGAUCCGGAUGGGUCCGUGCCUCCCCUGCCGCUGCUUGCUCUGUCGAAGACGACAAGCACCCGCCCGAGCCAGCGGCAUCGUUGGCAGCUUCAGUACACGACGCCCACGUGCCCAUGCCUGGCCGCAUCCCGCUCGCCCGCGUCACUAACCCGCCGCCCUACUUUUUUUUAGGGGUGAAAAACAAUUUAUUCAUCACCAAAAUUCACAUGAAGUGGGAUACAAGAAGGGUCAUGGGGAUUCCCAAGCCACACAUGGCGUCCCGGACCCUGAGAAAGAGCAAAUUUAGCUAGUCUAUGUGCCUCAUAGUUUGCGGCACGACCCUCAAACUCAAACUUAAUAGUAGCUGUGAGAUUUAUUUCGCUAAUGAUAGCGCCAUACCGGCCUCUGACCC
rnacentral:rRNA from 1 species